rnacentral:rRNA from 1 species
UACGAAGGGGACUAGCGUUGUUCGGAAUUACUGGGCGUAAAGCGCACGUAGGCGGAUUUGUAAGUCAGGGGUGAAAUCCCGGGGCUCAACCCCGGAACUGCCUUUGAUACUGGUAGUCUCGAGUCCGGAAGAGGUGAGUGGAAUUCCGAGUGUAGAGGUGAAAUUCGUAGAUAUUCGGAGGAACACCAGUGGCGAAGGCGGCUCACUGGUCCGGUACUGACGCUGAGGUGCGAAAGCGUGGGGAGCAAACAGG